AGGUUGUCCGUGUUGUCUUCUC
rnacentral:miRNA from 4 species